rnacentral:lncRNA from 1 species
UACAAAACAAGGCAAAGGAGAGUAUGGCUGUAGAGUUGCUAUUCAAGACCUCCAGAGACCAAGCGGGAAGCAGGUAUGAUUUUAUUGUGUAGUUACCAUGUAUAUAUACUCAGGCAGUAGCUAAGCAGAUUACAGGCAGCCACCAAUGCAAUUUCUGCUAACUGUCCUUGCAGCAAUCAAUCUAGGAGUGGGCCAUGGAGUAAGCAUGGGGACUGCAACACACGGCCUCAUGCCCAGAGCUGUGCCUGUGAGGUGAAGAAGUUGUGGAAGGAGAUGAGGACAGAGAUGGU